rnacentral:lncRNA from 10 species
CUGGACUCAUUUCAGGACUCUGAGCAGAGUUCUUAGGUCUGUAAGCCAAGCCACUUCUGUUUCUCUUUUGAGUUGCUAUAAAGUACAGACGAUUCUACCAACCUUGACACAAACGCCCAGCUGCCCCCAGUUCAGUGCCACAGAGAAAAGCCUUGCAGAACAGGUUGAGUUUGUGGAUGGGCAUGGGGUAGAAGGUAUCAUCUCUUCUCUAUCAAUGACUUGGGUGAUACUUCUGGCAACAAAACAGACAGUUCUCGGCCUCUGUGUUUUCAUUGUCCAACUGAAGAUUAGACAAGAGGCAGCAUGGGGUGGUGGAUAAAUCGUGGACCAGGAUUGAAGCGAAGAUCUGCUCAUCUGGGACACUCACCAGGGGCCCCAGGAGCUGAGGGGAGAUGCUGGAUCUCUAGGGGCUGUGGAAGAGCCCUCAACUGACUCCUGGAAGCGAGAAGCAUCUGUUAGGAUGAAGGGAACACCCAGUGAAGGGCCAACAGGAGACCUUCAAGGAGCCCCCAGAUGCUCCCUAAGAAAAAUGAUCAGCUCCAAACACCUGCCAUACCAAGAAAAAACAGAUCUAGUUCUAUUCACAAUCAAGCAGAUUUUUCCUGCUCCUACAUCUCCAUUCUCCCUCUGCAGCUACCCCUGACAGUCAGCAACUGUCCACCACGUUGGGCUCUGUACAGACUGAUGGUUCUGUAUUGUGAAUAUACUCUCCCCAGAGACACUGUUCAACUGCAGAAAUCUGCCCCUGUGCCUUUAGAAUUCACCAGCAUCCUGGGGUGAAAGAGAUCCAAGGGAAGUUUUACCUUUCUCUCUGCCUCUUGGCAGGCAACCUGGAACAAGUCUUGAUGCAUGAUCCCAAACCAGACUAGCUACAUAAUCUGUGGGGCCUAAGGUAAGAUGAAAAGGUAGGGACCCUUGUUUAGAAAUUAUUAAGAAUUUUAAGACAGCAAUAACAGAACAUUAAACCAAGAGUAGGGCCCUUCUAAGUGUGGAGUCCUAUGUAAACUGCACAGGUCAGGGGCCCACGAAGCUGGCCCUGACCCCAAAUUAUCUCUUCCAUUAGUAAGCACUUAUAGAGGAGUCCGGAAUGUGGCUGCCUUUGAGGGAGAUCUUCCUUAAACUGCACCCUUCACAGUGAAUUAAACAAGCAUCAGCCAGCAGUUCUCUUCUACCUCCUUCAAGCAGGAAACUAAGGCAAUGGGAGCUGACUAGUGGCCGUUGUAACAGGGGAAUUCUAUGAAUGCAAGAAAGUCUCAGCCCAGCAAUGUGGCCAUGGGUCCCAGAGGAAAAAAUUCCUUGGCAGGUAGUCUUCAUGUGAGAGCUCGGGACGGCUGGAACAUUUAUUUACCUGCAAUCAUGAGAACUGAAGAGUGACUCUCAGCUCACAAUAGCAUGGGCUGGUCCUGAGCUGUUCAGGAUUUUGUGGGCUGGGUGGUGUAAAUCCUGGCCAGAUUCUCCUGGGAGGCAGCCAUACCCCCCGUGGGCAGGAAAACCUCCUGAGAGACUAAACAGGGCAAGCUUUUAAAAAAACAAAAUAAUUAGUAGAAGGAAGAGUGAGCACUUUCAAGGGGUCCCCUUCGGGGUCCUCACGCCUUUAACCACCCCUCCCUUCUUGGCUCACUGGUGAGUGUCAGCCCAGCGGGGACACAAAGAGAUCCCAGCUACAUAUCAGCAGCUCGCAAAGCAGAAGAAAGGCUCUGGUGUCCGGGCUUACUCCUGUUCCUUCAUCGUCUUAGAAAUAGGGACUUGGAGGCAAACAGUCCCAUUACAAUGACGAAGACUACUCUCAACAUGAUGCACCCAAAUGAAUGCAUUUACCAGUUUGAUGUCUGCCUUUCUUCCUGGUUGCAUUCCGUAGAAGCAGAUCCUGAUAAGAUGAUGAAGUGCACAUGUCUCUUGAGAAAAUGCUCUCAGGAGAAGGGGGGAAGGUAAGCCAGGUGCAGCAGAGGACUGAGCAAGGUUGGGGUCUCAGCUGGACACUUCUUGGACCUGUUCCCACGGGAGCUCUGGAGUAUGAACUGUACCACAGAAUUGUCUCACCUAGAGCAGACAACACUCUCAGCAGCUGGGAGAUGGGUGUAGCAACCACUCUCCAUGAGACCACCCAUUCUCACCCCCUCCAACAGCAAGCAUGCCUGAGCAGGUGGGUCCCAAGAUCUAUAUUCUCAGAAAAAUUGGGAAACUAAGCUUUAGUCUGCUAGCCUAAGCCACAUUUACAGCCUGAAGGGUAUGUUGUCCUUUCCCAGCGAUCACAAAAAGGAUGCUUUAUUUUCUGUUUGGCUUCUAGUUCUUUUGAACACAGAAAACUCUGUCCGGGACCCUGGAGGGGAGAAGCAAAGGGAGUUGGAGGGUUACCAAAACCUUUCUCUCAUUCCACAUUAGACACUGCCUGUAUGGAGAGAGGUGUGUGAUACAGAGAAGAGUCAAAGUGACUCAAAGUCUCAGCUGAGAGGUGCUACUAAUGGACAUCAGCUCCCACAAGCCGCUGCUGGAAACCCUCCCUGGCUUUGGACAGCACUUGGCUUAGAUUCCAAACUCUGCAUCCCAUCACCAAAGCCUCACCUCAUCUAAUCACUGGCCACCUCUCUAACCUCAUCUCCUCCCACUCUCCUGUUAUCAUGCUCCAGCAGCUCAGCAUCUUUUCUGUUUGGGGCCUUGGCUCUCUCAGGGCUUUGGUGCUUGCUGUUCCCUGCACCUGGAAUAGUUUCCUCCCUGGAGAAGCCAAUGUUGGUCACUCAGUCCAAAGAGGUCCACACCCCUAACCCAUCACCACCUAAACUAUCAUUUCCUGCUAUUUCUCUUCUUCAUUUAUUGCUUGUUUAUUGGAUUCUCUCACCCCUCUCUAAAAUGCAAGCUCCACGAGAACACAGAUAUUGGCUAAAUUACUUGUGGCUGUAACAUCAGUGACUACAAGUAGGAAGGUCAGGGAAGGGAGCUAUUUGAGAGUGAAGGAGGAGGAAGAAUCAUAUAUAAUAUUUGGUAGAAGCUGUGAUUGAUGUUCCAGUGAAAUAUGUGGAUGGAAAUGCCCAGGAGACAGCUAGAGAUGCCUGGCUAGACCCAAGAGAGUUUGAGCCUGGGAUACAUAUUUCGGAGUCCUUCCCAUAAAGCUAAUAGCUAAAGUCGAUAUGGAAGAGAAGACAGUGAAGAGCAGAGCCUUAGGCAACACCCACAUUCUGGAGAUUUAUUUUAUCAUGUUACCUAGAAUGUUCCUCCAUCUCCUAUUAAGCACCCCUCUCUCAAACUGAAGUUGCAGCUUAAGAAUUACUUGCCUCUUUCCCCACAUUUAUAAUCCCUGCCCCCUGUUGCAGAUGCAGAACAGCAACCCAAGUCCCUUCUGGAAGCAGCCCUCUCCCUCCUGGCAGCUGACAGAAGUCUCUCUGGCCAGGCCGGCCUUUUGGCUGCUCUGCAUAUGGAAGUUCAAUUACUGUCAAUGGGAGGCCCAUCGGCAGGGUGAGGGCAGAAUACACAAUGGAGAUCGGUGUACCAGAUAGGCGCCUAGAUCAAAGAAGAACCCAGAGUUUGUGAAGUCCUUUCAUCCUCCCUGAUGAAAGGGAGAAGCUUACUGCUGUUUUCAUGGCUCUGCAUGCCCGGGGAAAGAGGAAGGCCACAGGAAGGUGACAGCUGAGGCAGGGUAUAACAGCAGGUCCCCAGGGUGGGUCAUUCACUGGGCUGACAAUCCAGUUGAUGCUUGCUUGGGUUGGGGCUCUGUGCUAAUUUGGAUGCUGACAGCCAGGUGACAGCAGCAGAGGGAAAGUAAGCUGAGAAGCAGAGAGGGGGAACCUUGAAAUGAUGCCUCUAAACGAUGGUUGACUUGUUUGUGACAUCACACCCCUAAGGCAUAGCUCUUUCCCCUGGGAGGGAUGCUGAGUGGCAAGUAGGCAGGCUGGGUACAUUUCCUUUUGGGAUGUGGUAGCGACAGUGUCCUACAGAGUCAGACUGGUGGCUUUAACAUCACAGGGCUUUGUCCAGCUGGAUCCGGAUAUCCAUUUGUCUAGAUUCCAUUUUCUCUGCUUCCUUUUUUAUUCCAGUAGAUAUAGCAGGCUUUCUCCCUGUAGCCAUGCAGAAGAGAUACAACUCAGAGGUGAUUCCUCUCAAAGGACAUAUUAGAUUCUUGAAGAGAGUCUAACAGGUUUAAGUGGGUCAGAUGCCAUGACUCAACAGCUUCCCCUUGAUCCUUUAAUCUCACAUCUGAAGCAUAAGACCUAUCCAGGUUACUUGGGGCAGCACCACCAUUGUACCAUUAAGGCUUCUCUUUCAGAAGGAUGAAUAAUCCAUCUGCAGCACUAUUUUACACUCUAGUUCAAUUCAAGACUCUGAAUAUGAUUUAUAAGUGUGAGUGAUUAUUUUAAGAUCAACCAGGGUUAAGCCAGGGAAAUUCUGUCCUCUGGUAGGGAGCCUCAAUGACCAGACCACUGUAAAGCCCCAGGAAUGCCAAGAACUCUGAAGAAGAAAGAUUCACCUCUAAGUGAGUUGGAGGAGGCAAAGACAAAAAACAAAAAACAAACAGUACAGGCCUUAGACUAAGGAGUGUGGGAAUGAGUUUCACCUCCAUUUCCAGCAACUGCCACGCAUAGAGUCUCUUCCAAAAAUGCCGGUGGCCUCAAAGAAGAGACAGCUGCUUCCCCAGCCCCUCAUUCAUCACCUGCUUGCUGGCCUAGGACUGAUAAGACAGAUCCAGAUCAAAUUACCUGGCAGCUGGGAGAGCAAGGAGAUAAGGAAAGGCAAGCUUAGGAGAAGUUCAGUAGAGUAGCAAAGAUCAAAUUGUGUAUUAAAUUUUCCAGGAACUAAAACCUUGCUCCCUCUGCAAACCCAGGGGAGGCACCUCCAAUCAGUCAGCACCAAACAGUGUUCCCAGGAGAAAAGCAAUGCCUUCAGCUUCUACUAGGAAUUAAGAAAACAGAGUACUGAGACCAAUUUAUUAUCACGCAGUUGGAUGAUAGGAAAAUGAAAACAAAGGUUAGAGGUGAACAUUAUAGAGGAGCCGAGUGGCCAAUGGCCAGAGAAACUUCAGGCAACAGAAGGAACACUGGGCUGAGCAAAAGACUUGGAUUCUUGUUCUAGCUCCAUCUCUCUCCCUUUGAAAAUGCACUUGAACCCCUCUGGGCUUUAUUUUUUUUUAUUUAUUUAUUUAUUUAUUUAUUUAUUUAUUUAUUUAUUUAUUUAUAAAAUGGUGGGGUGAGGAUUUCUUCAAGCUAAGAUCUUCCUGGCUUGAAGCUCUUAAAAUUUCUUGUUACUGCAGUCUUCCUAAGACAUUCCAUCUGAUGGUUUAUUCUUUUGACUCUGCCAUUUUACUCAACUAAACCUCAAAAUUCUUGACUAUGGAAGCCUCCAGAGGUGUUGUUAAAGCUUUAACUCUUUCAUUAAAAGCCAUGUGACUUGCUUUAUCCAAUGGGAGGUUAGUAGAUGUGACACAAACAAAUGCUCGAAAGAGUACUUGCAUGUUUCCAUUUACGUUUCUGUUCUUGCCUUCUGUCAUCACCAUGACAACAUGCCCAGUCUGGCUCCUGGAGGAUGGGACACACAACGUGGGAACCGGCAAGUCACCAGAGUCAUCUCAGCCAAGAUCAACCAAUAGUCAAUUACCAGGAACGUGAGAGAAUUCUGAGACCAGGACUGCUCAGCCACCUCUGCCUAAAAUACCAACACACAGAACAGUAAAGUGAAUGGAUGUUUAUUAUCCUAAGCCACUAUAUUUUGAGAUUGUACCUCAUGCAGCACUAUUAUGACCAUAGGUGACUGAUAUAAAAAGUAAGGAAUUAUGAAUCAUAAGAAAAAGAUGAACCAAGGAAAGAAUCAGCUUUGAAGAGGUGGUAAACUAUGGGAGUUGGGUAUGCUUUUCUGCAAUGAUCUUGUCUUAUUUUCUUUUUUUUUAAAGGAAGGCCUACCUGAAUAAUUCUGUGCAGGAAGAUAAAAGCAAGAUUAGAGUGAGACCUAUUCAGGGAGGUGUCAUUUUGUGAGCAGUUCAUGACCAUACCCAAUAAUCAGGGUCUGUCUACAUAUCUGAAUUUUAAUCCUUACAUAUAUGGCCUUAGAUGAACUAAAAUAAUUAUAAGAAGUUGUGUCAUUGUAGACUUCUAUUAAUAAACAUAUACCUACAUAUAUACAUGUUUAUGCACAAGAAUCAGCCUGUAUAGGCAUAUUUACCUAGGCAUAUUCAUUGCAUAGUGCUCUCAUGGUUGUGACUUGGGUGGGUGUAGCAAAGUGACAGGCCAGGAUCUCACCACAUAGGAAGAACUUUGGUCUGGCCAAGACAGGGCCAGCUAGUGGCCUCCCUGCCAUUAGCUCUGUCUGCCACCCAAGACAGAAGAAGCCAACAGUCCAAAGGGACAUAGCAGCUUCAUUUUGGUUCUAGUUAGUGGUGCCAUAGAAGAGGAACAGGCAGAUAGGAUCUCAUCUAGGCCAUGAGACAAGCAAGAGUUCUCAAGAAGGGUAGACUCUUAGAAACAGGAGGCCAGUGAGACAUGGAUCUAAGAGGCAUAGCCAGGUAGAAGCAGCCCUAGUCAAUGGCUAGAAGUAUAAUAUCCCAAUAAAAGAGGCAUUCUUAGAAAGCUGGGCAGCAUCUCAGGACCAC